CCACGUUUGUAGAAUGCCCCAACAUCUAUUUGAUGUUUGCAUUAUGGGGUUAUGUAUGCUAUUUUUUGCCUUUGUGACUGAGACACAUAUAACUUUAGUGUUUUCAUGGAUCGAUUAUAGUAAUUUCUAUGCUUUUGUUGCCUCUUGCUGUGAACUUUGAAUGAUAUGAUCAAGCCUUUCAUGGUGGAUGCUGUUUGUAGAUCACUGUUGGUCUAGACUAUGGAUGAAAUAGUUUGGUCAUCUCGUGGUCAUCUCAUCUUAUAGGGGCUAGAUUCGUGAUUUUCUGUGGAAAUUGUCGAUAAAUCCUAACCAUUGAUGUCUCUUUAGCAAGCAUAUCUGAUCGGUGGAACCGCAUGCUCAGGUCGAAAACUGUCCGAUUGCAGUAUUUCUUGAAGUUUGUAAGUAUAUUUUGAUUUAUUUGCCAACAAUUUGUCAGAGUAUUACUUUUAUUGCUUAAGGCUGUGAUUUCUUGAAUCAGAUUAACUUUUUGGUCUGUUACUGACGUUCAACAAGCAUCAAUAGUGCUGGACACCAAUUUUUAGACUGGUAUACUAGAUUAAAUUAUCCAUUUGUUGCUGACCUGUUCUGACCAGAUCUUGAUUUGAAAGCAUUGGUAGGUUGUGAGUUGAGAGGGAACCCUCUUGAGUAAUUUUCGGAUUUGCAGUAAACCUUAUUUAUUUGUUGCUGUAGACCUGUUUAUCUAAUGCUGGAGAUUAUGUGAACUUGUCAUGUAAGACAUAAGGUUCAAAAUGGUAUUUAUAAUGGUUCCAAGAAUUAGGAGCAUGGGCGGGCAUACAAUGUGACGGAUAAUCGCCUUCUAAAAGAGCUGGUUCUUUUA
rnacentral:lncRNA from 1 species